CUUUACUGUAACUUGAAAUUGGAUUUAAGCUUUUCUUGCGCAGGAUAGGUGGGAGGCUUUGAAGAUAUUUUUGCGGAAGUAUCUGAGCCAUCGGUGAGAUACCACUCUGGAAAAGCUCGGGUUCUAACCUCGUUUGCCGUUAUCCGGCCGGGGGACAUUUUCUGGUGGGCAGUUUGACUGGGGCGGUCGCCUCCUAAAAGGUAACGGAGGCGCGCAAAGGUUCUCUCAGGCUGGUCGGAAAUCAGUCGUAGAGUGUAAAGGCAUAAGAGAGCUUGACUGCAAGACCUACAAGUCGAGCAGAGACGAAAGUCGGCCUUAGUGAUCCGACGGUUCCGAGUGGAAGGGCCGUCGCUCAACGGAUAAAAGUUA
rnacentral:rRNA from 1 species